rnacentral:rRNA from 1 species
AUACGUAGGGGGCAAGCGUUAUCCGGAAUCACUGGGCGUAAAGGGUGCGUAGGCGGUCUGACAAGUCAGAAGUGAAAGGCAGUGGCUCAACCAUUGUAAGCUUUUGAAACUGUUAGACUUGAAUGCAGGAGGGGCAAGUGGAAUUCCUAGUGUAGCGGUGAAAUGCGUAGAUAUUAGGAGGAACACCAGUGGCGAAGGCGACUUGCUGGACUGUAAUUGACGCUGAGGCACGAAAGCGUGGGGAGC